rnacentral:rRNA from 1 species
UACGUAGGUGGCAAGCGUUGUUCGGAAUUACUGGGCGUAAAGGGCUCGUAGGUGGCCAACUAAGUCAGACGUGAAAUCCCUCGGCUUAACCGGGGAACUGCGUCUGAUACUGGAUGGCUUGAGGUUGGGAGAGGGAUGCGGAAUUCCAGGUGUAGCGGUGAAAUGCGUAGAUAUCUGGAGGAACACCGGUGGCGAAGGCGGCAUCCUGGACCAAUUCUGACACUGAGGAGCGAAAGCCAGGGGAGCAAACGGG